AGCGAACGCUGGCGGCAGGCCUAACACAUGCAAGUCGAACGGAUCCUUCGGGAUUAGUGGCGGACGGGUGAGGAACACGUGGGAACGUGCCUUUUGGUUCGGAACAACUCAGGGAAACUUGAGCUAAUACCGGAUGUGCCCUUCGGGGGAAAGGAUUUAUCGCCAUUAGAGCGGCCCGCGUCUGAUUAGCUUGUUGGUGAGGUAAAGGCUCACCAAGGCGACGAUCAGUAGCUGGUCUGAGAGGAUGAUCAGCCACACUGGGACUGAGACACGGCCCAGACUCCUACGGGAGGCAGCAGUGGGGAAUCUUGCGCAAUGGGCGAAAGCCUGACGCAGCCAUGCCGCGUGAAUGAUGAAGGUCUUAGGAUUGUAAAAUUCUUUCACCGGGGACGAUAAUGACGGUACCCGGAGAAGAAGCCCCGGCUAACUUCGUGCCAGCCGCCGCAGUAAU
rnacentral:rRNA from 1 species